UACGGAGGAUCCAAGCGUUAUCCGGAUUCAUUGGGUUUAAAGGGUGCGUAGGCGGAAUGAUAAGUCAGUGGUGAAAUCCUUCAGCUUAACUGAAGAACUGCCAUUGAUACUGUCAAUCUUGAGUACAUUUGAUGUGGGCGGAAUGUGUCAUGUAGCGGUGAAAUGCUUAGAUAUGACACAGAACACCGAUUGCGAAGGCAGCUCACAAAACUGUAACUGACGCUGAGGCACGAAAGCGUGGGUAUCAAACAGG
rnacentral:rRNA from 1 species